AAAAAAAAAAAAAAAAAAUUGCACGUGAGUACUAUUCAAGUAUCGCGAAGAGACAUUCACGUAGUACUUGUAUCCGCUGAGUUUCAAAAACUGUAAAAAAAAAAACCGUCAAAAAAAUCCCAAGCUCCACGUGAUCCAAGCAGGAGAAUAUAAGAAAAGUACUUACACAGUCACCUGGGAAUUCUCGUGACAAUAAGAUAAAAUGGAGAGAAGGCUUUCGCGAGGUUUCGAGCAAUAAAUAAACUUGAAAAAAAAAAAGAGGGCUCAGCCGGGAUUUGAACCCGGGACCUCUCGCACCCAAAGCGAGAAUCAUACCCCUAGACCACUGAGCCAAGAUGAUAAAAACUACAACUCUGGUGAUAAUAUAUUGAUACCAAUACAUGGGUAAAAAAUACACUACUGCCCCCUCAGUGAAUAAUAAGUCACAGUGAUACAAUAUUAAAAGGAAGUGUGUCCUGGCAUCUACUCUCCCAAGUGAAAGUGGCCAAAAAUCACGUAGCUAACCAAGAGACUGGGCCUCCCGUCCUUUCUCAAGCAGCGAUGGGGCAGCCAAAGCCCAAGUACGAGUUCUGGCCUCAACUUUGACUUCAAGCCUGAAGAAUUGGCAGCUAUAGAAGAAUGCUAUAAGCUCUAUGAUAAGAAUGACUUAAUAAGGAUUUACAAAGAAGAAACCUCGAGACGCCAAAUUAAUUUGCUAUCAGCUGCUGGCGAGAUCACUGAUAACAUAUGCGGCUCCUGUGCUGUGGCAUAUGGGGCCUACAGUCAUGGAAAAAUUUAGCAGACUAGAUCCAUGCUGUCAUGUGUCAGACUGUAUAGAACCGCUGAAACCAGGAGAGAAUCGGCAACGGAAAAAUCUACAGGGAAGCCAAUAUCACUAGAAUAGACUGUUUCUAUUUGAAACUCUGCAGAAACUACUAUUAAAGCUUCGGAAACAUCGACAAUCCGAUAAUGGACAAUCUAGUGUGCCAAGACGAAGCAGAAAGCAGAAGCAAAUGCCCGACAGGGCCAGUACAGCCCAAAAACGUGCAUAUCCUGUGACAAACAGGGAGUACUUCAAAAUAAGUAAAAUCUCCCUAUCGUAUACCACGAAAAAAAGACACUGUACCCACUAAAGAAUCAACCUGAAAUACGACGACUACGAAAACUUUAUUUUCUCUACGGCACUCCCUAGAGUCGAUGCCAAUGGCAAACAGAGAUUAACCAAAGAAUACUGGUGGGUCAGAGAGCGAUGCCAAACACCUUGACGAAAUCCGACGGAGAAUCAUCAGGAAAUAAUAGACCCACGGGAAGAAAACUUACUAUAGCUAUCUGAAUUAGGAGCCCAUGCACAGUGUCAUUGCUAAUUAAUAUAUUUAAUUAAUACAUUAAUAAGCAUGUAAA